rnacentral:rRNA from 1 species
AGACCCGAAACCCGGUGAUCUAGCCAUGGGCAGGUUGAAGGUUGGGUAACACUAACUGGAGGACCGAACCGACUAAUGUUGAAAAAUUAGCGGAUGACCUGUGGCUGGGGGUGAAAGGCCAAUCAAACCGGGAGAUAGCUGGUUCUCCCCGAAAGCUAUUUAGGUAGCGCCUCGUGAAUUCAUCUCCGGGGGUAGAGCACUGUUUCGGCUAGGGGGCCAUCCCGGCUUACCAACCCGAUGCAAACUGCGAAUACCGGAGAAUGUUAUCACGGGAGACACACGGCGGGUGCUAACGUCCGUCGUGAAGAGGGAAACAACCCAGACCGCCAGCUAAGGUCCCAAAGUCAUGGUUAAGUGGGAAACGAUGUGGGAAGGCCCAGACAGCCAGGAUGUUGGCUUAGAAGCAGCCAUCAUUUAAAGAAAGCGUAAUAGCUCACUGGUCGAGUCGGCCUGCGCGGAAGAUGUAACGGGGCUAAACCAUGCACCGAAGCUGCGGCAGCGACGCUGAUGCGUUGUUGGGUAGGGGAGCGUUCUGUAAGCCUGCGAAGGUGUGUCGUGAGGCAUGCUGGAGGUAUCAGAAGUGCGAAUGCUGACAUAAGUAACGAUAAAGCGGGUGAAAAGCCCGCUCGCCGGAAGACCAAGGGUUCCUGUCCAACGUUAAUCGGGGCAGGGUGAGUCGACCCCUAAGGCGAGGCCGAAAGGCGUAGUCGAUGGGAAACGGGUUAAUAUUCCCGUACUUGGUGUUACUGCGAAGGGGGGACGGAGAAGGCUAUGUUGGCCGGGCGACGGUUGUCCCGGUUUAAGCGUGUAGGUGUGUGUUCCAGGUAAAUCCGGUUCACUUUAACACUGAGGCGUGAUGACGAGGCACUACGGUGCUGAAGCAACAAAUGCCCUGCUUCCAGGAAAAGCCUCUAAGCAUCAGG